AUUGAACGCUGGCGGCAUGCCUAACACAUGCAAGUCGAGCGGAUGAAGGGAGCUUGCUCCUGGAUUCAGCGGCGGACGGGUGAGUAAUGCCUAGGAAUCUGCCUUGUCGUUGGGAAUAACGUCCUGAAACGGGCGCUAAUACCGCAUACGUCCUGAUUGAGAAAGUGGGGGAUCUUCGGACCUCACGCUAUCAGAUGAGCCUAGGUCGGAUUAGCUAGUUGGUGGGGUAAAGGCCUACCAAGGCGACGAUCCGUAACUGGUCUGAGAGGAUGAUCAGUCACACUGGAACUGAGACACGGUCCAGACUCCUACGGGAGGCAGCAGUGGGGAAUAUUGGACAAUGGGCGAAAGCCUGAUCCAGCCAUGCCGCGUGUGUGAAGAAGGUCUUCGGAUUGUAAAGCACUUUAAGUUGGGAGGAAGGGCAGUAAGUUAAUACCUUGCUGUUUUGACGUUACCAACAGAAUAAGCACCGGCUAACUUCGUG
rnacentral:rRNA from 1 species